rfam:Fungal sp. No.14919 DNA, contig: Contig0008.
GGAGCUGUGGCGCAACGGCUAGCGCGUCGGAUUCCAGUCCCGAAGGUUGUCCGCUCAAAUCGGGCCAGCUUCA